CUGCAGGUGCCUGCCAGGCAAGACUAAAUAAGCGCGCUGUGUUCGCCGAGGCGAUCUGAAAAACGCCUUCCGAUCCUUGGUUUCUCUUCUUUUUUUUUUUCAGUUCCAAAUUGCAGAGCCAUAAAAUGCUUGUUUACGAGACUGCUGGUGCAGUCAAGUUUGCGAAACGAUAUUCGGGCAGGCGCAGCUUCGGUUACUACGCCACCCAGCGAGAGCAGCCUAUCGCGCUGCUGUGGAAUCAGUCACCUUGCUCAAAAAUUACCCGGGCCCUUUGCAACAGUGCCAGUUUUCGCUCCAUGCAAAAGAAUAAAAAAACAUUAUUACGCCUUAUGUUGACAGGAGCUGGCCGCUGAACCAAUGUGGAUCGGUAAUUGGAGCUAGAAUGCUGCCAGGUACUGCUGCUCGUCUCUGUGUGGACAAGUACUGCAAAGAGGACAGCAUCUUCCUUUGUGGACUUUUUCUGAAGGCGUUUAGUAUGCACAAUUUCUAAUUCUGCGUGACAAGAAACUGUUGUGCAACCUAAUUUUCGCUAACAUUUGAAAGUGUGAAAUGAACCCAUGAGCAAACCUACUCCUAUUGAGAUUUCAUAUUUACUUUGAAUAAAAAAAAAAUGCAAAUAAACCUUGUAGCGCUAGA